rnacentral:lncRNA from 1 species
UUAAUAAACUGGUGUUUUUUUGUAUGAAAGUUGAAACUUAACGAUGAAGGUAGAAAAGUGAUUUCUGUAUAAUUAAUUUUAGUUUGGAGAAUUAAUUUUGGUUAAAAUUGUAGAGCGAGUUUAAAUGAAAAGUUCUGAAGUCAUUCUAUAAAGCUGUUUGACAAAAAUUUAUUAAUGUUUGCAAAUAAUAAAUUUUUAUAAAUUUUAAUUUAAAAUAAUUGAAAUUUGAAUUUAAAGACAUUUAAAAUUUGAUGGUUAAUAUGUAAUUUUAAAAUUUUUAAGUUGU